GACCAACCCUUAAAGACUGCUGCAUCUUUAGGAUAUUCUAGUCCAACAUCGAGGUCACAAACUCUCCUUUCGAUAUGGACUCUCAAGGAGAAUUAUGCUGUUAUCCCUAUGGUAACUAAUUUCAUUAAUCAAAAUCUUUGGAUCAACACUCGUCAGUUUUAUUAGUUAUAAAGAAGCUUUAUUUGUUCUACAGUCGCCCCAACCAAAAUUUAAAACAGAUUGAUAUUUAGAAUUAUACAAUUCUCAAUUUAUACUUUUAAAGCUCAAUAGGGUCUUCUUGUCUAUCAAUAACAUCUAGGAUUCUUCACCUAGAGAUCAAAUUCUAAAAAAUUACAUAGAGACAGUUUUGUUCGCGUCAAACCAUUCAUACGAGCCCUCAAUUAUAGGGCAAGUGAUUAUGCUACCUUCGCACGGUCAGGGUACCGCGGCCGUUAAAAAUAUUCACCGGGCAGGUCCGACUC
rnacentral:rRNA from 1 species